rnacentral:rRNA from 1 species
CCUUCGGGGAAAUGGAGGAGCGGCGCAAGGGAGAGUAACGCGUGGAUACCUGCCCCGAGGUCCGGGAUAGCCCAUCGAAAGGUGGGGUAAUACCGGAUAACAUCUCCGGAUCAAAGGUGUGAUUCCGCCUCGGGAUGGGUCCGCGUCCUAUUAGCUUGUUGGUGGGGUAAUGGCCUACCAAGGCGACGAUGGGUAGUGGGCGUUAGCGCGUGGCCCGCCUCACUGGGACUGAGACACUGCCCAGACACCUACGGGUGGCUGCAGUCGAGAAUCUUCGGCAAUGGGCGCAAGCCUGACCGAGCGACGCCGCGUGCGGGAUGAAGGCCUUCGGGUUGUAAACCGCUGUCAGAGGGGAGGAAGGGUCCGUGAAGAGCGGAACUUGACCUAUCCUCAGAGGAAGUGCGGGCUAAGUUCGUGCCAGCAGCCGCGGUAAGACGAACCGCACAAACGUUAUUCGGAAUCACUGGGCUUACAGGGUGCGUAGGCGGCCGUUCAAGUCGGGUGUGACAGCCCUCAGCUUAACUGAGGAAUUGCGCCCGAUACUGUUCGGCUUGAGGGAGACAGAGGUGAGCGGAACUUGCGGUGGGACGGUGACAAUGCGUAGAUAAUCGCAAGGAACACCAGUAGCGAAAGCGGGUCAGUGGGUCUCUUCUGACGCCUGAGGCACGAAAGCUAGGGUAAGCGACGAGGAUUAGAUAGCCGUCGUAGUCCUAGCUUGUAAACGCUGAGCACUGGAUUGGAGGGUCCUACCAUACACUUCCGGUCGUAGCGAAAGUGUUAAGUGCUCCGCCUGGGGAGUAUGGUCUCAAGGCUGAAACUCAAAGGAAUUGACGGGGGCUCACACAAUCGGUGGAGGAUGUGGCUUAAUUCGAGGCUACGCGAAGAACCUUAUCCUGGAUUUGACAUGCUUGGGAAUCCCCUGGAUACAGGGGAGUGCCUUUCGGGGAGCCCUUGCACAGGUGCUGCAUGGCUGUCGUCAGCUCGUGUCGUGAGAUGUCGGGUUAAGUCCCUUAACGAGCGAAACCCUUGUCGUUAGUUGCCAGCGGGUCAUGCCGGGGACUCUAACGAGACUGCCGGUGUUAAACCGGAGGACGCUGGGGAUCACGUCAAGUCCUCAUGGCCUUUAUGUCCAGGGCUGCACACGUCCUACAAUGGCGUGCACAAAGGGAAGCGAACUCGCGAGAGUAAGCAAAUCCCAAAAAUCACGCCCCAGUUCGAAUUGCAGGCUGCAACUCGCCUGCAUGAAGCCGGAAUCGCUAGUAAUCGCGGGUCAGCAUACCACGCCCAAUGUGUUCCUGAGCCUUGUACACACCGCCCGUCAAGCCACGAAAGUGG